ACUCCACUUUCCUCUUUGUUUUGGUCUCGAUCCUCUCCUUCACCUCCCAUGGAUCCGCGGGCCCAGUCACCGUCACCCUGUUGCUCCCCGCGUCCGCGGAUACCGUCACUCUGCAAGUGGCCAAUUAUUGUCAGAAACUCUGCAACGGAUGGGAGAGGAAACGGUUCAAAACCCAAUUAUUGCCAUAUGGAAAAAAAACGGUUCAUGUGAAAAAAAAAGGUUCGGUUUAAAAGAGGACCAAAGUGAGGGUGAAGAAAUUUUUGCCACGUGGCAAAAUUAUUGGGGAUUUAUAUUAGUUUAUAGAUUAUAGAUUAUAGAUAAAAUAGGCUCCACAUUCCUUUAUUGAGUCAUGUUUCUUAAGAUGGGAAUUAAAAUAC
rnacentral:lncRNA from 1 species